CACUCCUGCGGGAGGCAGCAGUGGGGAAUAUUGCACAAUGGGCGCAAGCCUGAUGCAGCCAUGCCGCGUGUAUGAAGAAGGCCUUCGGGUUGUAAAGUACUUUCAGCGGGGAGGAAGGCGAUAAGGUUAAUAACCUUGUCGAUUGACGUUACCCGCAGAAGAAGCACCGGCUAACUCCGUGCCAGCAGCCGCGGUAAUACGGAGGGUGCAAGCGUUAAUCGGAAUUACUGGGCGUAAAGCGCACGCAGGCGGUCUGUCAAGUCGGAUGUGAAAUCCCCAGGCUCAACCUGGGAACUGCAUUCGAAACUGGCAGGCUAGAGUCUUGUAGAGGGGGGUAGAAUUCCAGGUGUAGCGGUGAAAUGCGUAGAGAUCUGGAGGAAUACCGGUGGCGAAGGCGGCCCCCUGGACAAAGACUGACGCUCAGGUGCGAAAGCGUGGGGAGCAAACAGGAUUAGAAACCCUAGUAGUCCCAUG
rnacentral:rRNA from 1 species